rnacentral:rRNA from 1 species
AGAGUUUGAUCAUGGCUCAGAAUGAACGCUGGCGGCACGCUUAACACAUGCAAGUCGAACGAGAUCUUCGGAUCUAGUGGCAGACGGGUGAGUAACGCGUGGGAACCUGCCCUUUAGUAGAGAACAACUUGAGGAAACUUGAGCUAAUACUUUAUACGCCCUUCGGGGGAAAGCUUUAUGCGCUAUUGGAUGGGCCCGCGUUAGAUUAGUUUGUUGGUGAGGUAACGGCUCACCAAGACUUCGAUCUAUAGCUGGUCUGAGAGGAUGAUCAGCCACACUGGGACUGAGACACGGCCCAGACUCCUACGGGAGGCAGCAGUGGGGAAUAUUGGACAAUGGGGGCAACCCUGAUCCAGCGAUGCCGCGUGAGUGAUGAAGGCCUUAGGGUUGUAAAGCUCUUUCGUCAGGGAAGAUAAUGACGGUACCUGAAGAAGAAGAUCCGGCUAACUCCGUGCCAGCAGCCGCGGUAAUACGGAGGGAUCUAGCGUUAUUCGGAAUUACUGGGCGUAAAGCGAGCGUAGGCGGAUUUGUAAGUUGGAGGUGAAAUCCCAGAGCUUAACUCUGGAACUGCCUUCAAAACUACAUUUCUUGAGUUUGGUAGAGGAGAGUGGAAUUCCUAGUGUAGAGGUGAAAUUCGUAGAUAUUAGGAGGAACACCAGUGGCGAAGGCGACUCUCUGGGCCAAUACUGACGCUGAGGUUCGAAAGCAUGGGUAGCGAACAGGAUUAGAUACCCUGGUAGUCCAUGCAGUAAACGAUGAGUGCUAGAUGUUGGAAACUUUAGUUUUCAGUAUCGCAGUUAACGCGUUAAGCACUCCGCCUGGGAAGUACGGCCGCAAGGCUAAAACUCAAAUGAAUUGACGGGGACCCGCACAAGCGGUGGAUCAUGUGGUUUAAUUCGAAGAUACGCGAAGAACCUUACCGGCCCUUGACAUACCAAUCGCGAACUUAAGAGAUUAAGUUCUUCACUUCGGGUGGAUUGGAUACAGGUGCUGCAUGGCUGUCGUCAGCUCGUGUCGUGAGAUGUU